CCUACGGGAGGCUGCAGUGGGGGAUAUUGCACAAUGGGGGAAACCCUGAUGCAGCGACGCCGCGUGGGUGAAGAAGCGCCUCGGCGCGUAAAGCUCUGUCAGCAGGGAAGAAAAUGACGGUAUCUGAAGAAGAAGCCCCUGCUAACUACGUGCCAGCAGCCGCAGUAAUACUGAGUGGGCGAGCGUUAUCCGGAUUUACUGGGUGUAACGGGGGCGCAGACGGCUGUGCAAGCCAGGAGUGAAAGCUCGGGGCCCAACCCCGGGACUGCUCUUGGAACUGCGAGUCUGGAGUGCAGGAGAGGCAGGCGGAAUUCCUGGUGUAGCGGUGAAAUGCGUAGAUAUCAGGAGGAACACCGGUGGCGAAGGCGGCCUGCUGGACUGCAACUGACGUUGAGGCCCGAAAGCGUGGGGAGCAAACAGGAUUAGAUACCCCAGUAGUC
rnacentral:rRNA from 1 species